GACGAACGCUGGCGGCGUGCUUAACACAUGCAAGUCGAACGGAAAGGCCCUGCGUUUGUGGGGUGCUCGAGUGGCGAACGGGUGAGUAACACGUGAGUAACCUGCCCUUGACUUUGGGAUAACUUCAGGAAACUGGGGCGAAUACCGGAUAGGAGCUCCUGCUGCAUGGGGGGGGUGGUAAAGUUUCGGCGUUUGGGGAUGGACUCGCGGCUUAUCAUCUUGUUGGUGGGGUAGUGGCUUACCAAGGCUUUGACGGGUAGCCGGCCUGAGAGGGUGACCGGCCACAUUGGGACUGAGAUACGGGCCAGACUCCUACGGGAGGCAGCAGUGGGGAAUAUUGCACAAUGGGCGGCAGCCUGAUGCAGCAACGCCGCGUGCGGGAUGACGGCCUUCGGGUUGUAACCCGCUUUCGCCUGUGACGAAGAGUGAGUGACGGUAAUGGGUAAAGAAGCACCGGCUAACUACGUG
rnacentral:rRNA from 1 species